rnacentral:tRNA from 2 species
GCAGUAGUGGCCGAGUUGUUAAGGCGAUGGACUAGAAAUCCAUUGGGGUAUCCCCGCACAGGUUCGAAUUAUGUCGACUGCG